CAGUCGACGCACUCUCGUUUAGAUUGAAGGAGCUUGCUCCUGAUUGAUAAACAUUUGAGUGAGUGGCGGACGGGUGAGUAACACGUGGGUAACCUGCCCUAAAGUGGGGGAUAACAUUUGGAAACAGAUGCUAAUACCGCAUAAAACCUAACACCGCAUGGUGUAGGGUUGAAAGAUGGUUUCGGCUAUCACUUUAGGAUGGACCCGCGGUGCAUUAGUUAGUUGGUGAGGUAAAGGCUCACCAAGACCGUGAUGCAUAGCCGACCUGAGAGGGUAAUCGGCCACACUGGGACUGAGACACGGCCCAGACUCCUACGGGAGGCAGCAGUAGGGAAUCUUCCACAAUGGACGAAAGUCUGAUGGAGCAACGCCGCGUGAGUGAAGAAGGUUUUCGGAUCGUAAAACUCUGUUGUUGGAGAAGAAUGUAUCUGAUAGUAACUGAUCAGGUAGUGACGGUAUCCAACCAGAAAGCCACGGCUAACUACGUGCCAGCAGCCGCGGUAAUACGUAGGUGGCAAGCGUUGUCCGGAUUUAUUGGGCGUAAAGCGAGCGCAGGCGGUUUCUUAAGUCUGAUGUGAAAGCCUUCGGCUCAACCGAAGAAGUGCAUCGGAAACUGGGAAACUUGAGUGCAGAAGAGGACAGUGGAACUCCAUGUGUAGCGGUGAAAUGCGUAGAUAUAUGGAAGAACACCAGUGGCGAAGGCGGCUGUCUGGUCUGUAACUGACGCUGAGGCUCGAAAGCAUGGGUAGCAAACAGGAUUAGAUACCCUGGUAGUCCAUGCCGUAAACGAUGAGUGCUAG
rnacentral:rRNA from 2 species